rnacentral:lncRNA from 1 species
GGAGGCUAGGCGAACUUGCCACUGAGUGGAAAAGCUUUGAUCUAAGACAGUAUAGCGACAACCGACAUGUUUUUCGCAGAGAGACUAUCUCUUUUGUGCAUUCUUCUGAUGUUAUUGGUAGAGAUGAGGAUAAAGAGAACAUAAUUAGUAUGUUGAUGAAACAAAGUGAGGAUCAAAAUGUCCCUGUCAUUCCCAUUGUUGGACUUGGGGGUUUAGGAAAAACCACGCUCGCUCAAUUAGCAUUCAAUGAUGAUCGAGUUACUAGCCUUUUUCCUUUGAAGAUAUGGAUCUGUGUUUCUGAGGAAUUUGAUCUUUCUAGAUUGCUCAAGCUGAUUAUUCAGUCUGUAAAUAAAGGAGAAAGAUGUGAUGAUUCAACACUUGACGCCUUGCAAGCUCGUUUGAGAACCUUUUGAAUGAUAAGAAGUUCUUGCUCGUCCUGGAUGAUGUGUGGAAUGAAAAUAAAGCAAAAUGGGUUGAGUUAAGAAAUUUGUUGAGAUCGACGGAUGGAUUUUCUCCAAACAAAAUUAUUGUCACCACUCGGAGUUUGAACGUGGCCUCGAUAAUGAGUUCAAUUCCCCCUUAUAUAUUGAAAGGUCUCCCCCUUGAAGACUGUUUGACCUUAUUUACAAAAUGGGCUUUUAAUGAUGGUGAUGAGAGACAUUAUCCAAAUCUCAUUAGAAUCGGGGAGGAGAUUGUGAAAAAAUGCAAAGGGGUUCCUUUGGCAGUAAGAACAUUGGGAAGCCUACUAUUUCAGAAAACGGAUGAAUCUGAUUGGAUCUAUAUACGAGAGAGUGAAAUAUGGAGACUUGAGCAACAUGAAAACGAUAUUUUACCAGUGUUGAAGUUGAGUUACAAUCAUUUGCCAUCUCAUUUGCAACGAUGUCUUGCUUUUUUGUCCUUGUACAAAAAGGAUGAGAUCUAUUAUAGUGAUAGAGUUAUCUGUCUUUGGAUGGCAAAUGGACUCCUUGAGCAUCCAAAGCAAAAUCAAGAGUGGGAGGAUGUUGGCAAACGAUAUUUGAAUAAAUUACUAUCAAGGUGCCUCAUCCAAAAGGAGGAGGAUUUUCACUUGAAGUUUACCUUCAAAAUGCAUGAUCUGGUACAUGAUCUUGCAUUAGCUGUGUCUCGAAGAGAGUGUAAAAUAAUGAAUUCCAAAACAAAAACGGUUGAUGAAAAUGUUCGACAUCUGUUUUUAUGUGAUGAGAAGUUGGUUGAAGUUCCGCGUGUUUUGGAGAAAUUGGAAAAAGUUCAAACAGUAAUCGUCCAAGAUAGUUCACUAAGAUCAAAGAUUUUUGAUAAAUCUCUUAUAAAUCUUUGUGUCUCCAAUUUCAAGUAUCUACGAGCAUUAGAAUUAAGAGAUUCACUACUGACAGCUUUACCGAAUUCCAUUGGUAACUUGAAGCACUUACGAGAGCUUGACUUGGCCCGAUCUGAGGAUAUACGUGAACUUCCAAGGUCUUUUUAUAAGCUUUACUGCUUGCAAUCGUUAAAUUUGGGAGCUACUAGUUUGAAGCAGUUGCCCGACAGCGUGCAAAGGUUGAUUGAGCUUAGACAUCUUGUAAUAACCAUUGAAGCUAAGCAUUUGAAAGAAAUACGAGCAGGAUGUUGGACUUCUCUUCAAUACUUGGAAUGUAUAACUGUUUCGAAUUAGAAUGUUUACCUGAAGGAAUGCAGUAUCUGAAGUCACUUCGAACACUUCUCGUGAGUUACUGUCAUAGUCUUGUCUCAUUGCCCCGGAGCCUGAAAUUCCUAACCAAGUUAGAACACCUUGAAAUAGUGAGGUGCCUUCGAAUCAAUAUGAAAAUGGAACUAGAAGAGGAAGAAGACAAAGACCUUCAGUUGAGCCUUAAAACUUUCUCACUCUUCGGAUUACAUGAAUUAAGAGAUUUGCCACGAUUGCUUCUUCAAGGAUCUUCUUCCACUUUGCAGCAAUUACGAAUUAGGGGGUGUCCAAACUUGUCCUUUCUACCAGCAUGGCUACCGAAUCUCACUUCUCUUCAAAAACUUGAGAUUGCUAAUUGCAUAAAUUUGUCAGCUCUACCGGAGGGAAUAGACCGCCUCACCAACCUUAAGGAAUUGAGAAUUUACGGAUGUCCGGAGUUGAGCAAAAGAUACAGAGAAAAUGGGGGUAAAGAUUGGCACAAAAUUGCUCACAUCCAAAAGGUUGAUAUUUACUAUUGAAGAAUAAGGUAUGUGGUAAAAUUUUAAUUUCUCUAUCAGAUUUGAUUUCAUAUUAUCUCUCCCUUUUAUAUGUUUAAUGUUCGUUAAGUACUCAUUGUGUUUGGAAACAUUGCAUGUGUGAAAUGUGAAGAUGGAGAUGGAUGAAUGAAGCUAAGGGUGAGGCUUUUACUUUAUUUGCAUUCAGAUUUCACAGUUGAGAGUUGUAAUUCUAAUUACUGAGCUUUUUAUUUGGAUAUUUCAAAUGCCUUCAUGCUAUGGAUUGUAAUGUAUAAAAUUUUAUGCAUAUUUAUGUAUUCUCAUGGUUGGUUUGUCUUUAUAAUUUAGUAUAUAGAUAAAUUGGUUAUCCAAUUAUAAAAAAGUUACAAAAUGUAUGAGGUGCUAAAUUGGUACAUUUUGAUUUGGUAAUUAUAACUAUAGCAUUGGUAGGUUUUUGAGCAGGUUUAUAAUCAUCAAAAUGUAUCUUAGCUCACUUCCAAAUCUUGAUUUUGUAAUAAGCAUCAAAAGAUUUAUUUUUGAGCUACACAGUUUAGCACAUAGCUGUUCGUUACACAUGGGUUGAUGAUACGAUCAUGUGAGCUAUAGAAAUUAAGAUUCUUUUGAACCACACAGUUUUCGCUUGUCACACGGGCUAACGGCAUGCCUAUGUAGGUACUGUAGGUUAAGUUAUAUAAUUUGUACACGGUCACAAUUAAUUAUACAGUUUAAUCACACGGUUACAUAGAAUAAUUUAAUUAAAUCAAUAAUUAAUUGAUUAGUUCUAUAAUUUAAUCAAUUCAAGUAUCUGACUCAAUUUGUAAUGAGAGGAAUUUACAAGAUUACAAUCAUCAAUAGAGAAAUAUACAACUGAUAAAUACUCCUAAAAUUACUUAUACACCAUGACAUAUACAUUCAUAUAUCUGAUCGAUUCAAUAAUGGUUUUAUGAUUAAUCAUAUAUUUUUAAAUUACUUGUACAUCACAUUAAUUCUACAUAAAUUACUUGAUUUACAGUUUAUUUUAAUUUAAUAUAAUAUUCUGAAAAGUUUCAAAAAUAAUAAAUGAUAAAUAAUAUUAAACUUGGUAUGAAAAGUGAUAAUACAUCCAAUUUACAUGUUUAUCACGCUUAAUUUUGAUAAAUUCUUGAAUGAGAUGCUACUAAUUUUGGACCUAUUUUGAUUUUUGAUUAGGUGCAAAAGCAAACCCGAAAAGUUAAAAGAGUCAAAAAUGUAAGCGGUUGUAAAAGUUUUGAGCCAAAGAACGAAUUAAUGGAUAAUGAUCUAUUUUAAAAACUUUUAUUUUUGGAUUUAUUUGAAAAAUAAAUACUUUUAAUUUUACUUUAUUUUUAAAUAACUCUUCAAUAUUAGAUUGAUGAGUAUAAGUAGAAUUAGGGUUUUAGGCGAGGUACAAGGAGGGAGAAUGGAAUGGGGAAUUGAACUUCCUUCCCUGUUCUCAAUUCUGUUUUAACUCUUUUCUUUACUUGUGUAUUAUUGCACCAUUUACCUUUUUGUUUUAAACUGAUAAUUAAUAACCCUAUAGAUAGCGGUGAGAUCUGAACCCGCAUUUCAAAACUUUCGUUUCAAUGUUUAUUGUUUUUGCGGUUUAGGAGAUAGACUUCAUAGUCUCACAAAAUUAUAUUGGCAUCAAAUUAAAAAGAGUUUGUUGAUUCAGUAUUGAUAGGCAUACAGUUAGAAAUACUGAGUUGAUCGUUUAUCAUAUUCAAUCUACUGAAGAACACAUUGACAUAUCCAAUUAAGUAGUUAGUUAGAUUCUGUUAGGAGGAAAUAGCAGUCAGUUUUGAAACUGUUGAGGCCAUUGGUUCAAGUUGGGUCAUUCUAGUUCGCAAGGUUAUCAGAGUUAAAUCGUGGAUUCGUGUUUCGUAGUUCUUCAUUCAAUAAAGGUUAGUUGUUAGACGUUCUUGCAAUAAAUUUACACAUACAAAGGUUAAUAGUUCAAGGCAUCCUCGAUUAUUAUAAUUAACUUAUCGAUCAAAGGAGAAGACUUGCUGUUAAAAUAUUUAUCGUAAAUUUAGUCAUAUAUAAACCCUAAAUAAAAUACUUCUUAUACAUAUUAAAGCCAAACCAUUUAUUUAUCCAACUUAUAUUUAUUUUGGUAAAAGAAGACUUAUAUUUAUUUACUUUAUUCCUAAAACUUCAAAGUUUCAAAAAGAGUCUUAAAUUUUAUUUUUCAACCAUUCCCCCAUUUAACCUAAAAAAAUCCUUCUCCAUCCAAAACAAACGCUUAACUAUGCAAAUAUUCAAAUUAUAUUACCAUAUAUAAUUUAUGAAUUUAAUUUAAAUAAUAUUUUUAAUCCACAUAUCGGUAAACUAUUAAAAUAGUUACCUUUUUUUAUUUCAAGUUACAUUUUAGUCACUUACGUUAAUAUUUUUUUACGAAAUCAUCACUCUGCCAUUACAUUUAAAUAAUAUUUUUAAUCCAUAUACCUUUUAAUGGGUAAACUAUCAAAAUAGUUACCUUUUUUUACUUCAAGUUACAUUUUAGUCACUAUUGUUUGAAAUGUUACAUUUUAAUCACUUACGUUAAUAUUUUUUUACAAAAUCAUCACUCUGCCGUUAAUACUCGUUAUUUCCCAAACAGUAGUCCAAUAUGACAGUUAAAAUAAAUUUUAAAUGUCAAAGGUAGAGUGACCAUUUUCUUCAUAAAACGAUAACAAAAGUAACCAAAAAUAACAUUUUAAACAUAAAUAAUUAAAAUAUAACCUAAAUCAAAUAAAAAUGUUUAUUUUUAAUUUAUCAACACAGCGUAGUUAAGUUCCACCCAAGUCAACUAUAAAGCCUAGUCAACAAUCAAAAGCAGAUAUUUGGCUGAACCACAACCACAAAAUUUGGUGCAUUGCUGCUUCGAUAUGAACAGAAAAAAAUAAAAUCAUUAUUGAGUGCCACAAUCAUUAAUUUGCCUUCCUUCCCCUCAAUCAUUCAAGCUUUGCUCUAUAAAUUCAAUUAUGGCGGAGUUUCUGUUCAAUAUUGCAGAAAGGGUUGUCGAGAAAAUUGUCGGUCUCACUGUAGACGAAGUUCGCUUGGCGUUGAAUGUCAAAACCGAUCUGAAAAAGCUGGAGGACACCAUGAUCAGCAUUAAAGCUGUGCUCUUGGAUGCCGAGCGGCAACAGCACCAAAAUGAAAAGCUGCGCCUCUGUAUGCGGAAGCUCAGAGACAUCUUUUACGAUGCUGAGGACGUUAUUGACGAUUUCAAGUGUGAAGCUCUCCGGAAACAGGACGCCAUCAAUCAUCCCGACAUCAACAACUUAAAGGUGCGAGUUUUAGGUUCCUGUUGUUUGUCUCUUUCAUUCUCUUUAAAAAUGAGUCAUAAAAUCAAAGACAUCAAUGGGAGACUAGGCNNNNNNNNNNNNNNNNNNNNNNNNNNNNNNNNNNNNNNNNNNNNNNNNNNNNNNNNNNNNNNNNNNNNNNNNNNNNNNNNNNNNNNNNNNNNNNNNNNNNNNNNNNNNNNNNNNNNNNNNNNNNNNNNNNNNNNNNNNNNNNNNNNNNNNNNNNNNNNNNNNNNNNNNNNNNNNNNNNNNNNNNNNNNNNNNNNNNNNNNNNNNNNNNNNNNNNNNNNNNNNNNNNNNNNNNNNNNNNNNNNNNNNNNNNNNNNNNNNNNNNNNNNNNNNNNNNNNNNNNNNNNNNNNNNNNAAUUUGAUCUUUCUAGAUUGCUUAAGCUGAUUAUUCAUUCUGUAAAUAAAGGAGAAAGAUGCGAUGAUUCAACACUUGACGCCUUGCAAGCUCGUUUGAGAAGCCUUUUGAAUGAUAAGAAGUUCUUGCUCGUCCUGGAUGAUGUGUGGAAUGAAAAUAAAGCAAAAUGGGCUGAGUUAAGAAAUUUGUUGAGAUCGACGGAUGGAUUUUCUCCAAGCAAAAUUAUUGUCACCACUCGGAGUUUGAACGUGGCCUCGAUAAUGAGUUCAAUUCCCCCGUAUAUUUUGAAAGGUCUCCCUCUUGAAGACUGUUUGACCUUAUUUACAAAAUGGGCUUUUGAUGAUGGUGAUGAGAGACAUUAUCCAAAUCUCAUUAGAAUCGGCGAGGAGAUUGUGAAAAAAUGCAAAGGGGUUCCUUUGGCAGUAAGAACAUUGGGAAGCCUACUGUUUCAGAAAACGGAUGAAUCUNNNNNNNNNNNNNNNNNNNNNNNNNNNNNNNNNNNNNNNNNNNNNNNNNNNNNNNNNNNNNNNNNNNNNNNNNNNNNNNNNNNNNNNNNNNNNNNNNNNNAAAUAUGGAGACUUGAACAACAUGAACACGAUAUUUUACCAGUGUUGAAGUUGAGUUACAAUCAUUUGCCAUCUCAUUUGCAACGAUGUCUUGCUUUUUUGUCCUUGUACAAAAAGGAUGAGAUCUAUUAUAGUGAUAGAGUUAUCUGUCUUUGGAUGGCAAAUGGACUCCUUGAGCGUCCAAAGCAAAAUCAAGAGUGGGAGGAUGUUGGCAAACGAUAUUUGAAUGAAUUACUGUCAAGGUGCCUCAUCCAAAUGGAGCAGGAUUUUUGGUUGUAUUUUACAUUCAAAAUGCAUGAUCUGGUACAUGAUCUUGCAUUAGAUGUGUCUCAAAAAGAAUGUAAAACAGUGAAUUCGGAAACAGAAACGGUUGAUGAAAAUGUUCGACAUUUAUUAUUCUGUGAUGAGAAGUUGGUUGGAGUUCCACGUGUUUUGGAGGAAAUGAAAAAUGUUCGAACAGUAAUCAUCCAAGAUGCUUCAAAGGAAUCAAAGACUACUCAUGAAUCACUUAUAAAUCUGUGUCUCUCCAACUUCAAGUAUCUUCGAGCAUUAGAAUUAAGGAAGUCACCAUUGAUGGCUUUACCAAAUUCCAUUGGUACCUUGAAGCACUUACGAGACCUUGACUUGGUCGGAUGUAGGAGUCUACGUGAACUCCCGAGGUCUUUCGAUAAGCUUCGCAGCUUGCAAUCGUUAAAUUUGGGAGAUACUGGUUUGAAGCAGUUGCCUGACAGCGUGCAAAGGUUGAUUGAGCUUAGACAUCUAGAAAUAACCAUUAAAGCUACGCAUUUGAAAGAAAUACGAGCAGGAUGUUGGACUUCUCUUCAAUACUUGGAAUUGAGGUGGUGUAUGGAAUUAGAAUGUUUACCUGAAGGAAUGCAGUAUCUGAAGUCACUUCGGACACUUGUCCUGAAGCACUGUGAUAGUCUUGUCUCAUUGCCACGGAGCCUGAAAUUCCUAACCAAGUUAGAACACCUUUAUAUAAAAUUUUGCAGUAGUAUGAAUUUGAAAAUGGAACCAGAAGAGGAAGAAGACAAAGACCUUCAGUUGAGCCUUAAAACUCUCACACUCUUCGGAUCACAUGCCUUAAGAGAUUUGCCACGAUUGCUUCUUCAAGGAUCUUCUUCCACUUUGCAGCAAUUACGAAUUGCGUUUUGUCCAGACUUGUCCGCUCUACCAGCAUGGCUACUGAAUCUCACUUCUCUUCAAAAACUUGAGAUUAAGGGUUGCUUUAAUUUGUGGGAUCUACCGGAGGGAAUAGACCGCUUCACCAACCUUAGAGAAUUGACAAUUGACGGAUGUCCGGAGUUAUGCAAAAGAUACAGAGAAAAUGGGGGUGAAGAUUGGCACGAAAUUGCUCACAUCCAAAAGGUUGAUAUUUACGAAUGAAGAAUGAGGUAUGUGGUAAAAUUUUAAUUUCUCUAUCAGAUUUGAUUUCAUAGUAUCUUCCCCUUUUAUAUGUUUAAUGUUCGUGAAGUACUCAUUGUGUUUGGAAACAUUGCAUGUAUGAAAUGUGAAGAUGGAGAUGGAUGAAUGAAGCAAAGGGUGAGGCUUUUACUUUAUUUGCAUUCAGAUUUCACAGUUGAGCUUUUUAUUUGGAUAUUUCAAAUGCCUUCAUGCUAUAGAUUGUAAUGUAUAAAAUUUUAUGCAUAUUUAUGUAUUCUCAUGGUUGGUUUGUCUUUAUAAUUUAGUAUAUAAAUAAAUUGGUUAUCCAAUUAUAAAAAAGUUACAAAAUGUAGGAGGUGCUAAAUUGAUUAUCCAAUUAUAAAAAAGUUGUGCUAAAUUAGUACAUUUUGAUUUGGUAAUUAUAACUAUAGCAUUGGUAGGUUUUUGAGCAGGUUUAUAAUCACCAAAAUGUAUCUUAGCUCAUUUCCAAAUCUUGAUUUUGUAAUGACCAUCAAAAGAUUUAUUUUUGAGCUACACAGUUUAGCACAUAGCUGUGUGUUACACAUGGGUUGAUGAUAUGAUCGUGUGACCUAUAGAAAUUAAGAUUCUUUUGAACCACACAGUUUUCGCUUGUUGCACGGGCUGACGACAUGCCCGUUUGGGUACUGUAGGUCAAGUUAUAUAAUUUGUACAUGGUCACAAUUAAUUAUACAAUUUAAUCACACGGCCGUGUGAUUUUUGGAGAAUUCUUAUAUUUAGGUCCACACGGUUACAAUGAGUUCACAUAGUCUAGAUACAUGGUUAUGUGACCCUUGUUUGUUGAAGUUUCAAUACUUUUUGCUAAAUUUUCAAUGAAGUCUUUAGUUGUUCCCUUGUAUAUUCCAAAUAUAUAGUUUUUUUUAGAAUAAUGGAUUAAUGUAAAUUUGACAAACUAAAAAUAAUUUAAAUUAAAUAUUAUUAAAUAAUUUUAUAAAAUUAUUAUAUUAUAUUAAAUAUAAAUAUAAUUAGUAAAUAAUAUAUAAAAACUAGUUUUUUCACCCGUGUGAUUCACAGACUUACGGUAUAAAUUAAUUAUUUUUAAGAGUUAUAAAAUUCUAUAAAAAAUAAAUAUAAUAAAUUAAUUAAUAAGUAAAUUUAAACAAUUUAAAUGUGCAAAUGGUAAUAGUGAUUAUGGUUAUAAAAUAAUCAUUGCACCUUUAAUUAAUAAUAGUGUAAAUUAAUACUUAUAUAUAGACGUAUGAGUUUAUUAUAUUUAAAUUAAAAUAUUUGUAUUUAUAAAAUAUUUACAUAUAUUAUAAAUUAGUACAUAUAUAAAGAUUUAAUUAAUUCAUAUUUUUUAUAUAAAAAUAUUUACGCACUAUAAUUUUAGUGUAUAUGCUAAGAUUUAAUUAAAUUUAAAUUUAAAUUUCUAAUAAAAAUAAAAAUAAAAAUUAUUUUUAAUAAAAAUAGUAAAAAACAUAUUUUUAUUUAUAUGGUAAAAUAGUAAAGAAAUGAACAUUCAUUCAUAAGGUGAAUGUGAGUACGGGAGUAUUCUUUAGCAAAUGUGAGGGUAAGUGUGAGUAUAAGAGAGUUCUCUAGCUAGUGUGAGAAUAAAAAGUGAUAUAUAAAAAUAUAUUUUAAUUAAUACGAUAUUAAAAUUAACUUUUUAAAUAAAAAUAGUACUAAAAUUAACUUUUUUUUAUGAUAAAAGUAAAGAAAUGAGUUAUGAGAAUAUUCUUUAAUUAAUGUGGGUUAAAAUUAAAUUUUAAUGAAAAAGUGAAGAAAUAAACGCUUAUUUAUAGAGUAAGUGUGAGCUUUGAUUUUCAAAAUUGAUGAGGAUUAAAUUGCUAAAUUUUUUUGAGAAUGAUCAAUUUUGUCAAUAUUAGAAUUGAAAAGGAGUGGAGAGAUGUUUUUACCAAUCUACAUAAAAAUUGAAAUUUAUCCUAUUGAGCUAUUAAUGAUAAUAAAAACAAUCAAUUAAACUCUUCCGUUAAUGGAAAUUGUUAGUAGAUCGGUUUGACUAUUAACAGUAAAAAAAAUUAAAACAUCAUUUUAAAAUUGAUAAAAAAUAUAUACAUCUAGAAUGAAUCUGGAUAAUAAUUUGUCCAUAUUCAUUCUAUAUGAGUGUAAAACUAUAAAAAUUUAAAAAUUAUAAAGAUUAUAAAAAAGUUUUAAAUAUGUAAAAGAUUAAAAAAAUAAAAAAUAAAAAUAAUUUAUAAAAAAUUAAUAAAAAUGCACAUUUAGAGUGAACUUUAGCCAUCCUCGAGUAUCUUCUUGUAAUGCCACAUGUUAUGUCGGGUGAGAGUAUAACAACACUAAUUGAUUAAAAUUAUAUAUAAUUGAAAAAAAAUAUUUAUUAUGAUUAAUUACUUUUAUUACUGAUAGAAAUUAAAUUACUCAAAAUUAUUGAGAAGGAGUGGAGAGAUGCUUUUACCAAUAUACAUAAGAAGCCUUUUGAUAUAUUGAGAUUUAAAUUUACUUGUGGGCUGUGCCGACAGGCGUUUGUAGUCCAACGGUUAGGAUACUUUCACACCAGAUAAAUUAUUGUUCAAGUUCAUUUAAAUUUAGAUAAUUAUUUAUCUAAAUUUAUUUUGUAUGAGUGUAAAAUUAUAAAAAAUUUAAAAAUUAUAAAUUUUAUAAAAAGAUUCAAAUAUGUAAAAGAUUCAAAAAAAAUAUUAAUAUUAAUAAUUUAUAAAAAAUUUAAUAAAAAACACAUUUAGAAUGAGCUUGAGCCGUCCUUGGGUGUCUUAUUGUAGUGCCACGUGUUGCGCUGGGUGAGGAUAUAACAACACUAAUCAAUCAAAAUUAUAUAUAAUUGCCAAAAUAAUAUUUAUUGUGAUUAAUUGCUUUUAUUUGUUACUUUUCAAAAUUGAUAGGGAUUAAAUUGCUCAAAUUUUUUAGAAGGACCAAUUUUCUCAAUAUCAAAACUGAGAGGGGGUGAAGAGAUGUUUUUACCAAUAUAUCAUGGGGGACAUAGAGACUAUUAAUAUAUUUAAAUUUUAAGUUUAACUUAUGCAGCAUCAGGGGUUUGUAGUCCAACGGUUAGGAUAAUUGCCUUCCAAGCAAUAGACCUGGGUUUGACUCCCGACAAACGCAGUUGGAUUUUUCAUUUUAAGCAAUUUCCUUUUUUCCUUGUUCUCCGAUGGAAUGAAGGUGGUAACUGGUGAGUGUUCGUUGGAUAACAGUCUGAUAACUAAUAGUUCAUAAAAUACUCCCUUUGAGAACGCAAGAUGCAAAUGUCCAUGAAUAUGCGGUCAAAGCAAAAGUAUAAGUGUUCAUUUUUCUCCAAGAACAUCUAUCCUAUAUCUAAAUAUAGAGCUAUAAUCUUUAUGAAAAUCUAGAAAAAGAAGUUGAUAUAUUUAUUGUACAAGCCCAUUUGCCCGGGCCCAACAAACAAAACAAAAUAGACCUAACUAUCCAAUUACGCCCACCAGCUCAAUAAGCCCAAAAUUUAAAAAGCCCAAUGCCCAUUUUCAGAAAAAAACAAAUCAGCCUAGGGUUUCAGAAACUGAAACCCUAGCCCCUAACUAAGUGGCGCCGCAAGCCUCUUCUGACUCUUAGUCUACUGGCCGCCGCCCUCUGUCGACAUGGCCCACUUGCACCGCCACGGUCACAUCCGUCCUCACCUGCCCUCUGCUACUGCCAGUCUCCUGCAAAUACACAACAAAAAUCAACAACAUAAGGGAAAACAGAGAUUCAUUGUGAUUUUCUUUUCUUUCGGCUAUAAAGCCGAAAUUGUAAAAACAAAGAAAGGGGGGAGGCUUCAUCACUGUAAUCGGGUCUUUUCCUUUUCUUUUGUAACAUUUUCACAACACAAUAGUUAAUGAAAAAAGGCAGAGAAAACAUUUAAAGGUUGAUUCAGACUUUUUAUUCUUUUUUUCUGUUCGUUUUUAUAUUUGUUUGUUUUUUUUAUAUACGAAUUUAUCUCAACAAAAACGAAAUAAAAAAGGAGAAAGAACCUUACCUGAAUCGUCUCGCAAGCGUCGUCGCCGGAGUCCUACUUCGGGUCACCGAAAUUGGGCGGGGAAGGCGGCGAUUUGAUUUUUCUCUCGCGACCCCGAGGCCAUGAAGACUUGGUCUUCAGUUGGUCCUUGAAGCAGGGUUUAAAAACCCGACGUUUGGGCUUCUGACCACCGCUCACGGCGGGGUCGACGGUGGCCCAUUUGGCCGGCGACGGGGGGGAGUUGAAAGAAGAAUGGUUUGUUUCUUUCUUUCUUCUGCAGUUUUUUUUUAAAGAAACCCUAGAAAUGAUUUUUUUUAAAGAAAAUUGGGUUUAAAUACCCUAAACAAAACGGCACCGUUUUAGCCCCUUCGACCCGCGCGGUGACCCGACCCAGAGGAGGAUCCGCGUGUUUUCCUUAAAUGGUAUAAUUGCACGCGCAGUCCCUCAAACUUUACAACGCGUUGCAAUUUGGCCCUUGUUUCGUUGUUUUCUGUUAUUUUAAUUUGGCCACAAAGUUUUAUUGUUGUUUCAAUUUAGUCCAUUGCAGUGCUGCGUUUUGGAUGUCUUGGUUUAUUUACUUUUUUGGUCCCUUUCCUCUCGGCGCACGUUGCAACUUAAUCCUUCUCGUUUUUUUUAAAUUCGCCCAGUAUCUUUAUCUCUAUUUCAAUUUAGUCCCUUUUUUAGUAAUUCUAUUAUUAUUAUUAUUAUUAUUAUUAUUAUUAUUAUUAUUAUUAUUAUUAUUAUUACUUACUUAUUAUUUAGUUUAGUUAUUAUUACUUAUAUUAUUAUUANNNNNNNNNNNNNNNNNNNNNNNNNNNNNNNNNNNNNNNNNNNNNNNNNNNNNNNNNNNNNNNNNNNNNNNNNNNNNNNNNNNNNNNNNNNNNNNNNNNNAAUUUUAGAUAUUAUUAUAUAUUUGCUUAUAUAUGUACAUACGUAUAUGUAUAUGUAUGUUUUCUUUUUGUUUGUUUUUCUUAACCUCUUUAAUAUAUACAUAAAUACUUUUUUUUAUAUGUAUAUCUAUAUAUAUGUAUAUCUCAUCUUCAUAAAUGUAUAUUUAUAUGUAUAUAAAGAUAUAUAUUCUUAUAUAUUCAUCAUAUUUUUAAAAAAUAUAUUGUUUAUAUGCUUUAUACUUUGUGAUUUGUAUAUAUACUUAUACUUACAUGUAUAUAUAUAUAUAUAUUUAUAUUUGAUUAUGGUUAUAUACAUGUAUGCGCAUAUGUGCUUAUGUAUUUUCAUGUAUAAUAGUUUCAAUAUGUGUACAUGCAUAUGCUUUUUUCAUAUUUUCAUAAUUUUAUACAUGUAUACAUGUCUUUUAUUGUUUUUAUAAUUUUGUUAGUCUUGUUCGUUUAUUUAUGUACAUGUUUGUUUUUCUUGCUUUAGUUUUUAUCUGUUUAUCAUUUUGUUCGUUUAUUUAUGUACAUGUUUGUUAUUGUUUUUCUUGCUUUAGUUUUUGCCUGUUUAUCAUCUGUCAUGAUGCCUGCCCGAUUGCUUUUAUAUUAGUCUUAUCACUUAUUUAUAUUUUGUUUUGCAUGAUUAUUUUACUUACAUUAUCAUCAUCAUUUCAUUACACCCAAUUUUUUUAGAUUUCAAGAAAGAAAUUUUAAAAAUAUAAGUAAUAUUCGAUAUUUUAAAUCUUCGAAAGAAUCGAGCCCUAACGUAUUGGGUUUCGAUUUUCUUCGUUGAAUCUAAAUAAUCGAGAUUACUCUUUUAAGAAUAAUAAUAAAAAGCUCAUUAUCGGGAAUUCAAUAUGUUAUGUCCUAACGCAUUGGAUAUGACACGCUGUUUUCCUGAUAUAAGAAUUUUUUCUAAAAAAAAAAUUCAAAAUAAGGCAAUAUUUUGCGUUUAGAAAUUCGAGAAAACAUGUCCUAAGGUGCUGGGUAUCGAUUUUUUUCGUUCAACCAAAUGGCUUAAUAUCUUUUUUAAAAAUUUCAAAAUAUGGCAAUGUUUUGCAUUUGGAAAUUCGAGAAAACAUACCCUAAGGUGCUGGGUAUCGAUUUUUCUCGUUCAACCAAAUGGCUUAAUAUCCUUUUUAAAAUUUUCAAAAUAAGGCAAUGUUUUGCGUUUGGAAAUUCGAGGAACGUACCCUAAGGUGCUGGGUUUCGAUUUCUCGUUUAACCAAGUUGCCAAAUAUCCUCUUGAAUUUUAAUUUAUGCCAUUCGAGUUUUUUUUUUGGAUCGUAUUUUAAAUUUCUUUAAAGUUUUCAGUUUUUUGACACUAAGGCAUUAAUUAAUCAACUAGGUACCAAUUUUGGGCGUAUCGAGGGUGCUAAUCCUUCCUCGUGCGUAACCGACUCCCGAACCCAUUUUUUUGAAUUUCGUGGACCAAAAUCGUUGUUUUAAUAAAAUUAAAUCGUUUAUUAAAAACAACCACUUUUUGAGGUGAUCCGAUCAUACCUCAUCAAAAAGGAUCGGUGGCGACUCUCAUUUUCGUUUUCAUUUUCUAAAAUCCCAGUCGACCCCGUUUUUCAUCCAAAAAAUAGUGUCAACAUUUAUAUUAGACAUAUACCAAAAUUAACUCUUGAGUGAAAAACUACAUUAGUCUUAACUUGAAUAAGAUGUUGAAAUGCACAUCAUUUUUCAGUUAAUGAAAUCAUUAUAUUUUCGACUAAUGUAAUUUCUCGUUAACUUGAAAAAUUACAAUAAUUCAUGCAUUAAAAUUUAUGUAUAAUAUAAAUGAAAUAAAAUAUUUUAUUUUUAUAAAUUUUAUAUUUAAUUAUUCUAAUACUAGAUAUUGAUUAUUUAAGAUAUGUAUUGAUUGUCUAUCAUAUUUGAUCUAUCGAAAAACACAUGGCCAUGUGUAGUUCAGUAGUUGGUUGGAUUCUGUCAAAGGAAAUAGUAAUUAGAUUUGAAGCAGUUGAGGUCGUUAGUUAAAGUUGGACCCUUCUAGCUCGCAAGGCUAAAGAGCUAAAUUGUGGACGUGUUUCAUGAUUGUUCGUUCAGUAAGGAUUGAUUGUUAAAUAUUCUCGCAAUUAAUUUAAAAACAAUUUGAGUUUGAACAUAAUGAAAAAGAUCAAUAGGUUGAAAGUCGAAAAACAAAUUAGACUGCUAUUGUAAAAAAAUAUAAAUACAAUUUCAAUUAAAGUUUAUUAAUAUAAUGACUUGAUUAUAAUAAAAAAUAUUAAAUUUUCAUUGUGACUCAAACCAUUAUUUUUAAUCCGAUAAAGGUAGUGAUAGUUUUGAUGAAAUUAUGACGCGAGGGGGAGUGUUGGGGUUACUCUUUAUUAGACUUUUAACAAAAAGAUGAAAGUUUUGAUACAAGGUACGGAGCCAACAAACUGAAAAUAUGAUUGUUGAAAGAUUCACAUGAAUGCAAGGAUGAAUCUAGCUAAAUUGGGAGGGUUUGGAAAAAAUAUAGGUUCAAAAAAUAAGUUUAGACAAAAAAAUUGUUUAAAAAUUAGGUUGGAUCUCGAGUAAAAUUUUUUUAGCCCAAGCUCGGUUUGAUUUGAAUUAGCAAAAAGACAAAAGAAAUCUACUAUUUUCUUGUUAUCGCAUUGAUUUGUUACCAUUUUUUGGAUAGAAGAAAUCUUGUUUUAUUGCUAAUUUUAUUACUAUUUUAGAGGUAUUUUUUUAUUUAAGUAUAAAUAUUUUUAAUUUAUUUUCCAAUUUUUAGGAAACAUUUAAUUUACUAUUUUUAGUAUCUUUAAUGUAUUAAUUGUUUAGAUUUUUUUAAUAUGAAAAAAUUUUAAUUUUGCCACAUUGGAUUAAGCCUGAAUUUUAACAUUUUUAUUUAAGUCGAAUUUAGAUAAAAUAUUAAAUCUAAUUUUCAAAUCGAGCUUAAAAUUUUGACAAAACUUAACGCAAUAAAUAAAUCCAGCAAAUCACAUCCUAUGAGAGAGAAAUUGUAUUAUAUAGGAUAAAUGGUAAUCUAAGUUAGAGAAGCUUUUUGUGGAAAUUCAUGAAGCCAAUAACAGGGUGAAGUACACAAAGAAUGAAGGUGGUUGGAAAGGAAUCUAACAUCUUAACAAAAAGUUAAUAAAAUACACCAAUGUAAAUGUUAAUUAAUUAAAUACACAUCAACAACAAUUUUUUUAUUCUUCUUCAAAAAUAAAAUAUUAAUACUAGUACUAAAAAUUAAAGUAACAUUUGAUAAUUAUUAGUCUUAAGAUAUUAUUAAGAGUAUUCAAGGAUCUUGAAGCAUUAGUAUUUAUGAACAGUUAAAUAGAUUAAUUUUGUAAAACAAAAUGAAGAGUAUUAAUAAGGCAAAAUCUUAUUUUUCCUAAGAAUUUUAUAACCCAAAUUUGUUUAUUUCUUUAAUAAUUUUACUAUUUAUAUUUCAAAUUCAUGAAUAGUUGAUGUUACAUCUUUACAAAGUUACACUUCCCCCUAUAAAAUAUUCAUAGGUUUGAUAAUUUCUUUCCUACAAGAUUUCAAGGACCCGAACAAUAUGUUAGCGUUAGCAGGUUAAGUCACAGGCACGUCGAACAGGAAGGCUUGUUUUUGUUUUUUUCUUUUUUCGAAUUUCGGGCUACAACAAGAAGUUCUUUGUUUGAUUUCUUACCACAAAAAAAGAAGAAAAAGAGAAAAAAGGAAGGGUCUUUCUUGAAUGCUGUACUGCCUCUCUUCUUUCUUUGCUCUUGAAAUUCAAUUAUGGCGGAAACGUUUCUUUUCGAUAUUGCAGAAAGGGUUCUCGCCAAAAUUGUCCAUCUCUCUGUAGACGAAGUUCGCUUUGAAACAUUGCAUGUAUGAAAUGUGAAGAUGAAGAUGGAAGAAUGAAGGCAAGGUUGAGGCAGGCCACCCAAGACUUUUACUUUAUUUGCAUUUAGAUUUCACAGUUUAGAAUUGUAAUUCUAGUAACUCUAGCUUUUGCUUUGGAGAUUUCAAAUGGCUUAAUUGUAAUGUUUGUUUGACAUCUCAAAUGGCUUCAUGCUAUGCCUUGUAACUCUUAACUUUAUGCAUAUUUAUGUUUUCUCAUCCUUCCUUUCUCUUUAUGAUUACCAAUUUGGCUUAAUGCAUCAUUUAAUCUCUAAAAUAUACUAUUUUUUUUCACUUUGGUCCUUACAACUUUUUCUAGCCCAAAUUAGGGCAUAAUUAGAAACAUGUGUAUACAAAUGAAUGAGAUUACAUUUAUACAUAACCUAUUCAAUUAAAUCAAUUAUUAAUUGAUAAUUAGAUAAUUCAAUCAAUUAUGUUUGUAGUUAGACACAUGUAUAUACAAGUUUAUUUGUCUACAUUUUUACAUAGUAUAAUUUAAUUAAAUCAACAAUUAAUUGAUAAGUUCUAUAAUUUAAUCAAUUCAAGUAUCUGACUUAAUUCAUAAUUAGAGGAAUUUACAAGAUUAUAACCAUCAAUGGAGAAAUAUACAACUGAUAAAUGCUCCUAAAAUUACUUAUACACCAUGACAUAUACAUUCAUAUAUCUGAUUGAUUCAAUAAUGGUUUUACGAUUCAUCAUAUAUUUUUAAAUGACUUGUACAUCAUUAAUUCUACAUAAAUUACUUGAUUUACUAUUUAUUUUAAUUUAAUAUAAUAUUCUGAAAAGUUUAUAAAAUAAUAAAUGAUAAAUAAUAUUAAACUUGAUAUGAAAAGUGAUAAUACAUCCAAUUUACAUGUUUAUCACGCUUAAUUUUGAUAAAUUCUUGAAUGAGAUGCUACUAAUUUUAGACCUAUUAUUUGAUUUUUGAUUAGGUGUAAAAGCAAACUCGAAAAAUUAAAAAAGUCGAAAAUGCAAGCUGUUGUAAAAGUUGUGAGCUUUUAUUUUUGGAUUUAUUUGUAAAAUAAAUACUUUUAAUUUUAUUUUUAAAUAACUCUUCAAUAUUAGAUUGAUGAGUAUAAGUAGAAUUAAGGUUUUAGGCUAGGUACAAGGAAGGGAGAAUGGAAUGGAGAAUUGAACUUACUUCCUUGUUCUCAAUUCUGUUUUAACUCUUUUCUUUACUUGUGUAGUAUUGCACCAUUUACCUUUUUAUUUUAAGCUAAUAAAUAACCCUAUAGAUAGCGGUGAGAUCUAAACUUGCAUUUCAAAACUUUCGUUCCAGUGUUUAUUAUUUUUUCAGUUUAGGAGAUAAACUUCAUUUUCUCACAAAAUUAUAUUGGCAUCAAGUUAAAAAGAGUUUGUUGAUUCAGUAUUGAUAGGCAUACAGUUAGAAAUACUGAGUUGAUCGUUUAUCGUAUUCAAUCUACUGAAGAACACAUUGGCAUGUCUAAUUAAGUAGUUAGUUAGAUUCUGUUAGGAGGAAAUAGCAAUCAGUUUUGAAACGGUUGAGGCCAUUGGUUUAAGUUGAGCCAUUCUAGUUCACAAGGUUAUCAGAGUUAAAUCGUGGACUCGUGUUUCGUAGUUAUUCAUUCAAUAAAGGUUAGUUGUUAGACGUUCUUGCAAUAAAUUUAUACAUAGAAAGGUUAAUAGUCCAAGGCAUCCUCGAUUAUUAUAAUUGACUUAUCGAUCAAAGGAGAAGACUUGCUAUUAAGAUACUUAUCGUAAAUUUAAUCAUUUAUGAACUCUAAAUAAAAUACUUCUUAUACCCAUUAAAGCCAAACCAUGUAUUUAUCUAACUUAUAUUUAUUUUGGUAAAAGGAGACUUAUAUUUAUUUACUUUAUUCCUAAAACUUCAAAGAAGCCCCAUCUUUAUCUUUUAAGUUUCAAAAGGAGGUUUAAAUUUUAUUUUUACUAAAAAAACAUUUUCUCAAUCCAAAACAAAUAUUUAAAUUAUAUUACCAUAUAUAAUUUAUGAAUUUAAUUUAAAUAAUAUUUUUAAUCCAUAUACCUUUUAAUGGAUAAAUUAUCAAAAUUGUUAUUUUUGUUUACCUCAAGUUACAUUUUAGUUAUUAUUGUUUGAAAUGUUACAUUUUAGCCACUUACAUUAAUAUUUUUUUAACGAAAUCAUCACUUUACCGUUAAAAUUUGUUAUUUCUCAAACGAUAGUCCAAUAUAACAGUUAAAAUGAGUUUUAAAUGUUAACAAUAGAGUGACCGUUUUCUUUAUAAAAUGAUAACAAAAGUAACUAAAAAUAAUAUUUUAAACAUAAGUGAUUAAAAUGUAACCUAAAUUAAAUAAAAAUGUUUAUUUUGAUAGAUUACCUCUUUGUUUUUUUAAUUUAUCAACACAGCGUAGUUAAGUUACAGCCAAGUCAACUGUGAAGCCUAGUCAACAAUCAAAAGCAGAUAUUUGGCUGAAAAAAAUAAAAUCAUUAUUGAGUGCCUCAAUCAUUCAUUUGCCUUCCUUCCCCUCAAUCAUUCAAGCUUUGCUCUAGAAAUUCAAUUAUGGCGGAAACGUUUCUGUUCAAUAUUGCAGAAAGGGUUGUCGAGCAAAUUGUCGGUCUCACUGUAGACGAAGUUCGCUUGGCGUUUAAUGUCAAAACCGAUCUGAAAAAGCUGGAGGACACCAUGUUCAGCAUUAAAGCUGUGCUCUUGGAUGCCGAGCGGCAACAGCACCAAAAUGAAAAGCUGCGCCUCUGUAUGUGGAAGCUCAGAAACAUCUUUUACGAUGCUGAGGACGUUAUUGACAAUUUCAAGUGUGAAGCUCUCCGGAAACAGGACGCCAUCAGUCAUCCCGUCAUCAACAACUUAAAGGUGCGAGUUUUAGGUUCCUGUUGUUUGCCUCUUUCAUUCUCUUCAAAAAUGAGUCAUAAAAUCAAAGACAUCAAUCGGAGACUAGGCGAACUGGCCACUGAGUGGAACAGCUUUGCUCUAAGUCAGUGUAACGACAGUAGACAUGUUUUUCGCAGAGAGACCAUCUCUUUUGUGGAUUCUUCUGAUGUUAUUGGUAGAGAUGAGGAUAAAGAGAACAUAAUUAGUAUGUUGAUGAAACCAAGUGAGGAUCAAAAUGUCCCUGUCAUUCCCAUUGUUGGACUUGGGGGUUUAGGAAAAACCACGCUCGAUCAAUUAGCAUUCAAUGAUGAUCGAGUUACUAGCCUUUUUCCUUUGAAGAUAUGGAUCUGUGUUUCUGAGGAAUUUGAUCUUUCUAGAUUGCUCAAGCUGAUUAUUCAGUCUGUAAAUAAAGAAGAAAGAUGUGAUGAUUCAACACUUGACGCCUUGCAAGCUCGUUUGAGAAGCCUUUUGAAUGAUAAGAAGUUCUUGCUCGUCCUGGAUGAUGUGUGGAAUGAAAAUAAAGCAAAAUGGGUUGAGUUAAGAAAUUUGUUGAGAUCAACGGAUGGAUUUUCUCCAAGCAAAAUUAUCGUAACUACUCGGACUUUGAAGGUUGCCUCGAUAAUGAGUUCAAUUCCCCCUUAUGAAUUGAAAGGUCUCCGUCUUGAAGACUGUUUGACCUUAUUUACAAAAUGGGCUUUUAAUGAUGGUGAUGAGAGACAUUAUCCAAAUCUCAUUAGAAUCGGGGAGGAGAUUGUGAAAAAAUGCAAAGGGGUUCCUUUGGCAGUAAGAACAUUGGGAAGCCUACUGUUUCAGAAAACAGAUGAAUCUGAUUGGAUCUAUAUAGGAGAGAGUGAAAUAUGGAGACUUGAGCAACAUGAAAACGAUAUUUUACCAGUGUUGAAGUUGAGUUACAAUCAUUUGCCAUCUCAUUUGCAAC